rnacentral:rRNA from 1 species
UACGUAGGGUGCGAGCGUUGUCCGGAAUUAUUGGGCGUAAAGAGCUCGUAGGCGGUCUGUCACGUCGGCUGUGAAAACCCGAGGCUCAACCUCGGGCCUGCAGUCGAUACGGGCAAACUAGAGUACUGCAGGGGAGACUGGAAUUCCUGGUGUAGCGGUGAAAUGACGCAGAUAUCAGGAGGAACACCGGUGGCGAAGGCGGGUCUCUGGGCAUUACCUGACGGUGGAGGAGCGAAAGUGUGGGGAGCGAACAGGA